rnacentral:rRNA from 1 species
GGGUUGUGAGGUUAAGCGACUAAGCGUACACGGUGGAUGCCCUGGCAGUCAGAGGCGAUGAAGGGCGUGCUAAUCUGCGAUAAGCGCCGGUAAGGUGAUAUGAACCGUUAUAACCGGCGAUACCCGAAUGGGGAAACCCAGUGUGAUUCGUCACACUAUCAUUAACUGAAUCCAUAGGUUAAUGAGGCGAACCGGGGGAACUGAAACAUCUAAGUACCCCGAGGAAAAGAAAUCAACCGAGAUUCCCCCAGUAGCGGCGAGCGAACGGGGAGGAGCCCAGAGCCUGAAUCAGCAUGUGUGUUAGUGGAAGCGUCUGGAAAGGCGCGCGAUACAGGGUGACAGCCCCGUACACAAAAGCGCAUGUGCUGUGAGCUCGAUGAGUAGGGCGGGACACGUGGUAUCCUGUCUGAAUAUGGGGGGACCAUCCUCCAAGGCUAAAUACUCCUGACUGACCGAUAGUGAACCAGUACCGUGAGGGAAAGGCGAAAAGAACCCCGGCGAGGGGAGUGAAAAAGAACCUGAAACCGUGUACGUACAAGCAGUGGGAGCCCCACCACUAAGCCAGUGGUGAACUCCACAUCCGCAUCCUUUGCUGAGGAUACGGUUAACGGAGCGAAAGCGACGUUCAACCGCAAAACAAGCAGAGGGGGCUUAGUGGUGGGGUGACUGCGUACCUUUUGUAUAAUGGGUCAGCGACUUAUAUUCUGUAGCAAGGUUAACCGAAUAGGGGAGCCGGAGGGAAACCGAGUCUUAAUUGGGCGUUAAGUUGCAGGGUAUAGACCCGAAACCCGGUGAUCUAGCCAUGGGCAGGUUGAAGGUUGGGUAACACUAACUGGAGGACCGAACCGACUAAUGUUGAAAAAUUAGCGGAUGACCUGUGGCUGGGGGUGAAAGGCCAAUCAAACCGGGAGAUAGCUGGUUCUCCCCGAAAGCUAUUUAGGUAGCGCCUCGUGAAUUCAUCUCCGGGGGUAAGCACUGUUUCGGCUAGGGGGCCAUCCCGGCUUACCAACCCGAUGCAAACUGCGAAUACCGGAGAAUGUUAUCACGGGAGACACA